CAGCGUUUGAGUGUAAAGGAGCUAAACACCUAUAUUUCGGCACCUAGAAAUGGAACAAAUGGGUCGCAACGCAUAUAAUAUAAAUGUUUUUAUUGUGUCUUAAAUAUUGGAUACCCGAAGCCCAUCUUUUCAAGGCUUUCAUUUUCAACGGAUGUAAGCAAGAUUCUGAUUGUAACAAUGGUUGCUGUGAGCACAGUUUCUUUAAUAGUCGAUGUGUGGCUAAAAGUCAGUAUCUACAAGCAUGCUCAAGUACCUCAUCAUGUGGCUGUGCUACAGGUUUGACCUGCGUAAAGGAAACUGAUGUUACCAGUGUUGCUAUUGAAGUUCAUGCUGGAGGAAAUGGCAUGGUCUGUGAACAAACCGCAACAACAGGUUCUCCAACAACAGCA